rnacentral:rRNA from 1 species
GGCACUGGCUGGUUUCAACUUCCUGUAGAGGACGCGCUCUGGCUUCAUCGCUGGACGCGGAGUCUACGUGGUUACUUUGAAAAAAUUAGAGUGUUCAAAGCGGGCUUACGCUUGAAUAUUUCGGCAUGGAAUAACACUAUAGGACUCCUGUCCUAUUUCGUUGGUCUCGGGACGGGAGUAAUGAUUAAGAGGAACAGUUGGGGGCAUUCGUAUUUCAUUGUCAGAGGUGAAAUUCUUGGAUUUAUGAAAGACGAACUCUGCGAAAGCAUUUGCCAAGGAUGUUUUCAUUAAUCAAGAACGAAAGUUGGGGGCUCGAAGAUGAUUAGAUACCAUCCUAGUCUCAACCAUAAACGAUGCCGACUAGGAAUUGCAGGAUGUUAAUUGAUGACUCCUGCAGCACCUUAUGAGAAAUCAAAGUUUUUGGGUUCCGGGGGGAGUAUGGUCGCAAGG